UACGUAGGGACCAAGCGUUGUUCGGAUUUACUGGGCGUAAAGGGUGCGUAGGCGGCGCGUCAAGUCAGUUGUGAAAUCUCUGAGCUUAACUCAGAACGGUCAACUGAUACUGUCAUGCUAGAGUGCAGAAGGGGCAAUCGGAAUUCUUGGUGUAGCGGUGAAAUGCGUAGAUAUCUGGAGGAACACCGGUGGCGAAGGCGGCAUCCUGGACCGACACUGACACUGAGGAGCGAAAGCCAGGGGAGCAAACGGG
rnacentral:rRNA from 1 species